CGAAGGUCCCAAGCGUUAUCCGGAUUUAUUGGGUUUAAAGGGUGCGUAGGCGGACUGUUAAGUCAGUGGUGAAAGCUCCAUGCCUAACAUGGAAAUUGCCAUUGAUACUGACGAUCUUGAGUACAUUUGAAGUGGGCGGAAUGUGUCAUGUAGCGGUGAAAUGCUUAGAUAUGACACAGAACACCGAUUGCGUAGGCAGCUCACUAAACUGUAACUGACGCUGAGGCACGAAAGCAUGGGGAGCAAACAGGAUUAGAUACCCUGGUAGUCCAUGCCCUAAACGAUGUUCACUCGAUGUGUGCGAUACACUGUACGCGUCCAAGCGAAAGCAAUAAGUGAACCACCUGGGGAGUACGGCCGCAAGGCUG
rnacentral:rRNA from 1 species